UAGUAUGAAUGUUUAGGGUGACUGGGGGGUUAUACGUAUGAAUGGGGUUAUUAGUAUGAAUGAACGUUAUAGGUGGAAUGGGGUUAUAGGGUGAAAUGGGGGUUAUAGGGUCAAUGGGGGUUAUAGGGUCAAUGGGGGAUACUAGGUGAGAUGGGGGUUAUAGGGUGAAUGGGGUUAUAGGGUGAAUGGGGGGUUAUAGGGUCAAUGGGGGGUUAUAGGGGUCAAUGGGGUUAUAGGGUGAAUGGGGGUUAUAGGUGGAAUGGGGGUUAUAGGGUGAAUAGGGACGUUAAGGGUCAAUGGGGAGUUUAAGGGUCAAUUGGGGUUAUGGCGGUGAAAUGGGGGUUAUAGGGUCAAUGGGGGGUUAUAGGGUCAAAAUGCGCGGUUAUGGGGUUGAUGGGGGUUAUAGGGUGACAUGUGAGGUUAUGGGUCAAUGGGGGCUGAAGAAUGAAUGUGGGGUUAAAGCAUGAAUGGGGGCUUAUUAGUAUCAAAUGGGGUUAUAGGGUGCAAUGGGGUUAUAGGGUCCAAUGGGGUUAUAGGGUCAAUGGGGGGUUACUAGGGUCCAACUGGGCGUUAUAGGGUGAAUGGGGUUAUAGGGUCAAUGGGGGUUAUAGGGUGAAAUGGGGGUUAUAGGUCAAAGGGGGGUUUAUAGGGUCAAUGGGGGAUAUCAAGGGUCAAUGGGGGUUCAUAGGGUGAAAUGGGUUAUAGGUGAAUGGGGGGUUAUAGGGUCAAUGGGGUUCAAAGGGUGAAUGGGGGGUUAUAGGGUGCAAUGGGGGUUAUAGGGUCCACAUGGGUUAUGGGUGAAUGGGGGGUUAUAGUAAAUGAAUUGGGGUUAUAGUAUGAAUGGGGGGUU
rnacentral:lncRNA from 1 species